rnacentral:tRNA from 1 species
GCGGUUGUAGCUCAGCUGGUUAGAGCACCGGCCUGUCACGCCGGGGGUCAGGGGUUCAAGUCCCCUCAAUCGCGCCA